rnacentral:pre_miRNA from 1 species
AGUGGCAUUGCUAGACCAUAUGGUAAUUCUAUUUUUGAGGAACUGCCAAACUCUUCCACAAUGGCUAUGCCAUUUAGCAUUUCCACCAGCAGU